rnacentral:rRNA from 1 species
CCUACGGGAGGCAGCAGUGGGGAAUAUUGGACAAUGGGGGGAACCCUGAUCCAGCCAUGCCGCGUGUGUGAAGAAGGCCCUCGGGUUGUAAAGCACUUUCAGUGAGGAAGAACGCCUGGUGGUUAAUACCCAUCAGGAAAGACAUCACUCACAGAAGAAGCACCGGCUAACUCCGUGCCAGCAGCCGCGGUAAUACGGAGGGUGCGAGCGUUAAUCGGAAUUACUGGGCGUAAAGCGCGCGUAGGUGGCUUGAUAAGCCGGUUGUGAAAGCCCCGGGCUCAACCUGGGAACGGCAUCCGGAACUGUCAAGCUAGAGUGCAGGAGAGGAAGGUAGAAUUCCCGGUGUAGCGGUGUAAUGCGUAGAGAUCGGGAGGAAUACCAGUGGCGAAGGCGGCCUUCUGGACUGACACUGACACUGAGGUGCGAAAGCGUGGGUAGCAAACAGGAUUAGAUACCCUUGUAGUC